rnacentral:rRNA from 4 species
CAAAUGAAUUGACGGGGGCCCGCACAAGCGGUGGAGCAUGUGGUUUAAUUCGAUGCAACGCGAAGAACCUUACCUGGUCUUGACAUCCACAGAACUUUCCAGAGAUGGAUUGGUGCCUUCGGGAACUGUGAGACAGGUGCUGCAUGGCUGUCGUCAGCUCGUGUUGUGAAAUGUUGGGUUAAGUCCCGCAACGAGCGCAACCCUUAUCCUUUGUUGCCAGCGGUCCGGCCGGGAACUCAAAGGAGACUGCCAGUGAUAAACUGGAGGAAGGUGGGGAUGACGUCAAGUCAUCAUGGCCCUUACGACCAGGGCUACACACGUGCUACAAUGGCGCAUACAAAGAGAAGCGACCUCGCGAGAGCAAGCGGACCUCAUAAAGUGCGUCGUAGUCCGGAUUGGAGUCUGCAACUCGACUCCAUGAAGUCGGAAUCGCUAGUAAUCGUGGAUCAGAAUGCCACGGUGAAUACGUUCCCGGGCCUUGUACACACCGCCCGUCACACCAUGGGAGUGGGUUGCAAAAGAAGUAGGUAGCUUAACCUUCGGGAGGGCGCUUACCACUUUGUGAUUCAUGACUGGGGUGAAGUCGUAACAAGGUAACCGUAGGGGAACCUGCGGUUGGAUCACCUCCUUACCUUAAAGAAGC